rnacentral:sRNA from 1 species
UGGCCAAGAGGGUGACCGCUUGCACAGGGCAA